GAUUGAAGGCUGAAAUUCGCCUUCAUGAAGUCGGAAUUGCUAGUAAUGGCAGGUCAGCAUACUGCCGUGAAUACGUUCCCGGGCCUUGUACACACCGCCCGUCACACCAUGAGAGUUGGAGAUACCCGAAGCCUAUGAGCUAACUUUUAGAGGCAGUAGUCGAAGGUAGAAUCAAUGAUUGGGGUGAAGUCGUAACAAGGUACC
rnacentral:rRNA from 1 species